UGAACUUUGAAGCCGCAGCAGCCGAUCGACACUGAGCUCAGACUUGGCCCCUUUUCAAAUUACUUCCUUGAUCACCACUUCUCGUAGAGACCCUCUUCAAUUCUUUGACCAUCUUUAUCUCGUUAUAUUUCUGCAUUCUCAUUCUUUUUGCAAUGACAGAACAAAUCUCUGAUGAAACAAAUAAUGUAGAAGAAAUAAAGGAACAAGCAAGAAAUGGAAGACGGAAGCUGUAUAGGCUUUUGGUACCCAAUGCUGAAGAUCUUUCUCUCAUCCCUACCUCAGCUAUUGAAUCUAACUUUGUUCCAGGUUUUAUGAAACAAGGUAAUGAUCAAUAUGUUUAUCUCCAUCUCAAUGGGUUGUGUGUCAUUGAUUUGGAUGCAACACGUGAGGGCUACCUAAUGAUUUCAAUGUUCGAAAAUCAGAUUGCAGUGGAUUUAAGGUUACUGAAAAGCGCAUGAAGGU